rnacentral:rRNA from 1 species
UUGCUACAGGCUUAACACAUGCAAGUCGAGGGGCAGCAUGGUCUUAGCUUGCUAAGACUGAUGGCGACCGGCGCACGGGUGAGUAACACGUAUCCAACCUGCCGUCUACUCUUGGACAGCCUUCUGAAAGGAAGAUUAAUACAAGAUGGCAUCAUGAGUCCGCAUGUUCACAUGAUUAAAGGUAUUCCGGUAGACGAUGGGGAUGCGUUCCAUUAGAUAGUAGGCGGGGUAACGGCCCACCUAGUCUUCGAUGGAUAGGGGUUCUGAGAGGAAGGUCCCCCACAUUGGAACUGAGACACGGUCCAAACUCCUACGGGAGGCAGCAGUGAGGAAUAUUGGUCAAUGGGCGAGAGCCUGAACCAGCCAAGUAGCGUGAAGGAUGACUGCCCUAUGGGUUGUAAACUUCUUUUAUAAAGGAAUAAAGUCGGGUAUGGAUACCCGUUUGCAUGUACUUUAUGAAUAAGGAUCGGCUAACUCCGUGCCAGCAGCCGCGGUAAUACGGAGGAUCCGAGCGUUAUCCGGAUUUAUUGGGUUUAAAGGGAGCGUAGAUGGAUGUUUAAGUCAGUUGUGAAAGUUUGCGGCUCAACCGUAAAAUUGCAGUUGAUACUGGAUAUCUUGAGUGCAGUUGAGGCAGGCGGAAUUCGUGGUGUAGCGGUGAAAUGCUUAGAUAUCACGAAGAACUCCGAUUGCGAAGGCAGCCUGCUAAGCUGCAACUGACAUUGAGGCUCGAAAGUGUGGGUAUCAAACAGGAUUAGAUACCCUGGUAGUCCACACGGUAAACGAUGAAUACUCGCUGUUUGCGAUAUACUGCAAGCGGCCAAGCGAAAGCGUUAAGUAUUCCACCUGGGGAGUACGCCGGCAACGGUGAAACUCAAAGGAAUUGACGGGGGCCCGCACAAGCGGAGGAACAUGUGGUUUAAUUCGAUGAUACGCGAGGAACCUUACCCGGGCUUAAAUUGCAGAUGAAUUACGGUGAAAGCCGUAAGCCGCAAGGCAUCUGUGAAGGUGCUGCAUGGUUGUCGUCAGCUCGUGCCGUGAGGUGUCGGCUUAAGUGCCAUAACGAGCGCAACCCUUGUUGUCAGUUACUAACAGGUUCCGCUGAGGACUCUGACAAGACUGCCAUCGUAAGAUGUGAGGAAGGUGGGGAUGACGUCAAAUCAGCACGGCCCUUACGUCCGGGGCUACACACGUGUUACAAUGGGGGGUACAGAGGGCCGCUACCACGCGAGUGGAUGCCAAUCCCCAAAACCUCUCUCAGUUCGGACUGGAGUCUGCAACCCGACUCCACGAAGCUGGAUUCGCUAGUAAUCGCGCAUCAGCCACGGCGCGGUGAAUACGUUCCCGGGCCUUGUACACACCGCCCGUCAAGCCAUGGGAGCCGGGGGUACCUGAAGUGCGUAACCACGAGGAGCGCCCUAGGGUAAAACUGGUGACUGG